rnacentral:rRNA from 1 species
GGUUCGAGAGGAAGGUCCCCCCACACUGGUACUGAGACACGGACCAGACUCCUACGGGAGGCAGCAG